GUUAAACCCCCUCCUUUACUA
rnacentral:tRNA from 1 species